GACGUAGGUGGCGAACGUUAUCCGGAAUUAUUGGGCGUAAAGGGUGCGUAGGUGGCCUGACAGGUUAUCAGUGGCAAAUCGAGGCUCAACCUCGUGGAAACUGGUAAUACUGUUCGGCUUGAGUACAGGAGAGGUUAACGGAACUCUAUGUGGAGCGGUAAAAUGCACAGAUAUAUAGAAGAACAUCAAUAAAGGCGAAGGCAGUUAACUAUUCUGUUACUGACGCUGAGGCACGAAAGCGUGGGGAGCAAAACGG
rnacentral:rRNA from 1 species